CUUGCGUGGCAAUGCAGAGGCAACAAUCGGGCCGGUUGUCGCUGUUGAGCGGGCCAAGCUCAUCCGACUUAUUUGGGGAUCGGAAUAGAGUAUGCUGCGUACUCCUGCCACUUGAUGUGGAAAGGUAGAGGCAACAUUCCUUCAACGAUGUUCUCAAAGUCGGAGAGCAUUCUUAGGGUCUUGCUCGUCCGACUUAUUUGGGGAUCGGACUCGAGUAUGCUGCGUAAUCCUACCACUAGUUGUGGAAAGGUAGAGGCAACAUUCGUUCAACGAUGUUCUCAAAGUCGGAGAGCGUUCUUAGGGUCAGGCCCCGAGGCAACCAAAUGGGCCACGAGGAUAUAUAUCAUGAGCGACAUCCAAAACCAAUAACGAGAGCAAGGCUGCCUUGAUAGCACCGGCCAGAAGAACCAGCACCACGAGGCAACGCCACAAUCGCCAUACGGCCGCAGCAGCACACCCAAAGGCGUCCACCACGAGGCAACUAUGUAUGAAGCACCAAUACCCAUAGGUCAGGUAACAUCACGCAAGCACUUGAAAGGCAAAGUAAGAUAGCUCACACAAAUGGCAAGACACGGCGCCAAUAGUCGGCCGCACAAA
rnacentral:misc_RNA from 1 species